UUUUUCUUGUUGUUAUCGUCAGAGUCGCAAUCAAAACUUUUCCAAUUUCUUGCUUAAAAUUCAAGUGCUCGGUCUGUUGUUAUUCGUCAGAGUAGGCUAUUUGUUUCGCAAUCCAAUUUCUUGCUUAAAAUUUCAUCGUGCUCACGUCGCGGAUGAAAAAAAAAAGUGAUAAAUAUAGAUGAAGCACUGCAAAUGCUUUUAGCACAUAAUCGGGCAAGAACACCGCAUUCGAUUAGACAAGUUAGCAAAUAAGUGGCAAGUGCUGGCCAAGCCAAUUGAUUAAACGCCCUAAUUGAACUAAAAUAUACCAGGCGCGAGUGACAUAGAGAGAUAGAGAAAGAGCGAGAUCGAAGCAUUGAAAAGCUGCCAAAGAAAUCUUGCCACCAACACACAUUUUUUGCAUUCACUCUUUGCUCUCGGCCGCUUUCAUCGCGUGUUGUUUGUGUGUGUGCGUGUGUAUAUAUUUUGCCGCGUUGCCUUGCUGGCUCAUUCGUGGUCUCCUGAAUUUGUUUUUGUCGCUGGGAAUCGCCCGAAAGCGCUGUUGGAAGAGUGUGCAACAAGAGGCACGUGAAUGUCGCAAAAACACCAGAAGCAGUCCUACCAACCGCUCCCCACCGCCGCGGCCGCCAUGGACAAUCCGGCGAUGACCCAGAGCAGUAGCAGUAGUGGCGGCAGUAAUGAAAAUGUCGCCAACAUACCUCCGACUUACUCGUCACAACAGUUGAUGCCCUCGGAUUCCGACAGCAUGGAAGAGGAGCGUCAGCUACGUCCCACUGGAACUGCAGCCAACCUCGGUGCCGGCCUUGGUUUACCGACCGUGCCCACGCGCCUCUCCGCGGUCGGCCGGUCGCAAUGGUUUACCGUUUCCGUGCUUUGCUUUGUCAAUCUCAUCAACUAUAUGGACCGCUUCACGAUUGCGGGGGUUCUGAAGGAUGUGCAAAACGACUUUCAAAUUGGCAACGAUAGUGCGGGACUCCUGCAGACGGUCUUUGUCAUAUCGUACAUGGUCUGUGCGCCAGUCUUUGGCUAUCUGGGGGAUCGGUACUCCCGGCCGUGGAUCAUGUCCGUGGGCGUGGCCCUAUGGUGCACCACCACGCUGUUGGGCUCGUACAUGGAGAGCUUCGGCUGGUUCAUCACGUUCCGGGCUCUGGUAGGGAUCGGCGAGGCCUCUUACAGCACGAUAGCGCCUACGAUAAUAUCGGACCUCUUCGUGGACCACAUGCGCUCCAAGAUGCUGGCGAUGUUUUACUUUGCCAUUCCUGUCGGCUCCGGUAUGGGAUAUAUUGUCGGCUCGAAGACGGCUCACCUGGCCAACAACUGGCGCUGGGCGCUGCGCGUGACCCCCAUCCUGGGCGUGGCUGCAGUCCUGUUGAUUAUGCUGAUCAAGGAUCCGGAGCGCGGCCAAAGCGAGGGCUCCCACAGCAUGGAGGCCACCUCCUACAAAAAGGACAUCAAGGAGCUGCUCAAGAACCGCUCGUUCAUGCUCUCCACGGCCGGAUUCACGUGCGUGGCCUUUGUGGCCGGAGCACUGUCCUGGUGGGGACCCUCCUUCAUCUACCUAGGCAUGAAGAUGCAGCCGGGCAACGAGAACAUCGUUCAGGACGACAUCUCGUACAAGUUCGGAAUAGUGGCGAUGGUGGCGGGCCUAAUCGGAGUCCCGAUGGGCUCCGUGCUCGCCCAGCGACUGCGCAGUCGCAUGGAGAACUGUGACCCGUACAUCUGUGCCGGAGGACUACUGGUAUCCGCGCCCAUGGUGUUUGCUGCUCUGGUGGUGUCGCGGACGAGCGGAUCGCUGUGCUUCUUCUUCGUGUUUCUGGCCCAGGUGGCCCUCAACCUGUGCUGGUCCAUUGUGGCCGACAUUCUGCUGUAUGUAGUGGUGCCUACGCGUCGUUCCACAGCGGAGGCCUUCCAAAUACUCAUCUCCCACGCCCUGGGUGAUGCCGGCAGUCCCUAUCUUGUGGGAGCGAUGUCGGAGGUCAUCAUGAAGCAUCUGCGCAAGCAUCCCGACGCUUCGGGCUUGACAAAUGAACUGCAAAGCAUGUCCCAGGUGCUGGAGGCGCAACUCGUCAAUGCCACGGAAGUGGCCACGAUAGUGGCCUCGGAGGCUAUCCAUUCGUUACAAACUAAUCUAACAAAGUCAGUUGACAAGCUGGCAGAACAAUUUACGGAACUCGAGCAGUUUGAGGGACUUCAGUACGCGCUGUUCUCUACCAGCUUCGUGGAGGUGCUGGGCGGCAUCUUCUUCCUGUUCACCGCCUGCUUCAUACUCAAGGACAAAUACAAGGCCGCGCAAAGUGUAGCUGGCGAUAAGGGACUAGCAGUGGCAGCGAAAGACGUCGAGUCUGUCAAUUCGGACUGUCUCGUCCUGUACACUGACAUUGCCCUGCGGGAACGCGCGUGAUAAUGUAAGGCGCCCUCGAAAUAAACCUAUUUUGGCUUCAGAUCCCAUAAGAUGCUCAGGAUCAGCACCAGCAGCGGGGCAACCAGAUUGCCUAAUACCAGCCUAUCCUGGAAGUUAUGCUGCGCACUCAGAGCACUGAUGGCAUUUUGGGUGAACUCAUACUGACUGAAAAUCAUCUUUAAUUUAAUCUCCACACACACACGCACACCACGGAUUGGUUUCAUUUGGAAUUUGGAUAAUGUGUAGCCCUACGUAGGAUACAUGCUCAAUUUCCUAUCAGAAGGGAAAGGACAGAUAGCCACGACAUCCAUACAUACCUAAACAGUUCAGUUAUGUAGAUAUAUACAUACAUACACUCUCAAUCAUCCACUCCCAAACUCGCGAGUCAUAUACUUCUUAUUGGUUCAUUUUACCUGUAAACGAUAAUUUACGUAGUCGUAGAUAGACCUAGUUCUGGUAUUUUAGUCUAAAGAAAAAUUAAAAUGGAAAAAAAAUACAAAAUAAAACAAGCAAACACUUCAUGCGAUUUCGAGGAUGUUCUCCAUUAGGCGGCCACUGCUCUCCUCUCCAAUCAAGACCGAAACUGUUGUAAAUAGGUCAAGAACCCUAUCCUAUUAAGUGGCAGAAGCACCGAACCGCACGGAUUAUCUCAGGCAACGUAUGGAACGCAUGGAGUGUCGAUUGUUGCGAUAUUUAUAUACAAUAAGCUACACAUUUAGAGUAUAAUAUAUGAAUACAUUUGAUUUGUAAAUAUGGAUACGCAUUGGGCCAUUGUAUAAGUGCAUAGUCUCUAUAGAUAAUCAAGCUAAUCGUAAUUCUGUAAUUUUAUUUUAACUAUAACUUUAAUCGUAAUCUUAACUCUAGAUAGAUUUGUGUAACAAAUUGAAUGAAAUAUCUGCACCCUCAACUAUUACUGAAUAUUACAAGCUAACUAUUUAAACAAAUGGAAAAAAUCCUUUUAGCUACAGAA